UAGGGAAUAUUGCACAAUGGAGGAAACUCUGAUGCAGCGACGCCGCGUGAGUGAUGAAGGCCUUCGGGUCGUAAAGCUCUGUUGUACGGGAAGAAGGUCUUUUACCUAAUACGUAAGAGGCUUGACGGUACCGUAUAAGAAAGGACCGGCUAACUUCGUGCCAGCAGCCGCGGUAAGACGAGGGGUCCUAGCGUUGUUCGGAAUCAUUGGGCGUAAAGCGUAUGUAGGCGGCUUUUCAAGUCAGAUGUGAAAGCCCACGGCUUAACCGUGGAAAUGCAUUUGAAACUGCUAAGCUUGAGUGCGAAAGAGGAUGGUAGAAUUCCAGGUGUAGUGGUGAAAUACGUAGAUAUCUGGAGGAAUACCGGAGGCGAAGGCGGCCAUCUGGUUCGCUACUGACGCU
rnacentral:rRNA from 1 species